rnacentral:rRNA from 1 species
CUGCCUGGUAGUGGGGGACAACGUUUCGAAAGGAACGCUAAUACCGCAUACGUCCUACGGGAGAAAGCAGGGGACCUUCGGGCCUUGCGCUAUCAGAUGAGCCUAGGUCGGAUUAGCUAGUUGGUGAGGUAAUGGCUCACCAAGGCGACGAUCCGUAACUGGUCUGAGAGGAUGAUCAGUCACACUGGAACUGAGACACGGUCCAGACUCCUACGGGAGGCAGCAGUGGGGAAUAUUGGACAAUGGGCGAAAGCCUGAUCCAGCCAUGCCGCGUGUGUGAAGAAGGUCUUCGGAUUGUAAAGCACUUUAAGUUGGGAGGAAGGGUUGUAGAUUAAUACUCUGCAAUUUUGACGUUACCGACAGAAUAAGCACCGGCUAACUCUGUGCCAGCAGCCGCGGUAAUACAGAGGGUGCAAGCGUUAAUCGGAAUUACUGGGCGUAAAGCGCGCGUAGGUGGUUUGUUAAGUUGGAUGUGAAAUCCCCGGGCUCAACCUGGGAACUGCAUCCAAAACUGGCAAGCUAGAGUAUGGUAGAGGGUGGUGGAAUUUCC